rnacentral:rRNA from 1 species
CCUACGGGUGGCAGCAGUGGGGGAUAUUGCACAAUGGGGGGAACCCUGAUGCAGCGACGCCGCGUGGGUGAAGAAGCGCCUCGGCGCGUAAAGCCCUGUCAGCAGGGAAGAAAAUGACGGUACCUGAAGAAGAAGCCCCGGCUAACUACGUGCCAGCAGCCGCGGUAAUACGUAGGGGGCAAGCGUUAUCCGGAGUGACUGGGUGUAAAGAGUUGCGUAUGGGGGAUAAUAAGUAGCUAGUGGAAUCUGGUGGCUCAACCAUUCAGACUAUUAGCUAAACUGUUAAGCUCGAGACCGUUAGGGGUAACUGGAAUUUGUAGUGUAGGAGUGAAAUCCGUAGAUAUUAGAAGGAACACCAAUAGCGUAGGCAGGUUACUGGGACGGUUCUGACGCUAAGGCACGAAAGCGUAGGGAGCAAACGGGAUUAGAUACCCUUGUAGUC